CAGCCGCCGCGGUAAUACGUAGGGUGCGAGCUUUAAUCGGAUUUACUGGGCGUAAAGCGUGCGCAGGCGGCCCGUUAAGACAGGUGUGAAAUCCCUGGGCUCAACCUAGGAAUUGCGCUUGUGACUGGCGGGCUCGAGUACGGUAGAGGGGGGUGGAAUUCCUGGUGUAGCAGUGAAAUGCGUAGAGAUCAGAAGGAACACCGAUGGCGAAGGCAGCCCCCUGGGCCUGUACUGACGCUCAUGCACGAAAGCGUGGGGAGCAAACAGGAUUAGAUACCCUGGUAGUCCACGCCCUAAACGAUGGGUACUAGCCGUUUGGUGCGCGAUAGCGCUGAGUGGCGAAGCUAACGCGUGAAGUACCCCGCCUGGGGAGUACGGCCGCAAGGUUGAAACUUAAAGGAAUUGGCGGG
rnacentral:rRNA from 1 species